rnacentral:rRNA from 1 species
GGAGUCUGGGCCGUGUCUCAGUCCCAAUGUGGCCGUUCACCCUCUCAGGCCGGCUACUGAUCGUCGCUUUGGUGGGCCGUUACCCCGCCAACUGGCUAAUCAGACGCGGACCCAUCCCGUACCGAUGAAUCUUUUCACACAGGGGGAGGCCCCCUCGUGCGCUUAUGCGGUAUUACCAGCCGUUUCCAGCUGCUAUCCCCCAGUACGGGGCAGGUUAUCCACGCGUUACUCACCCGUCCGCCACUAUGAUAUAUUUCAGACCGAAAUCAUCUAUAUAUCACCGUUCGACUUGCAUGUGUUAGGCACGCCGCCAGCGUUCAUC